CGUUUGAGAGUGCUGGGCUGCCAGCUCCUCGGAAAAUCCUGUCAAUAGCGUUUGUUAGUGGACAGAUCAGGCUUCGGCAGAGCAGCUCAGAGGACAGAGUGAACACUGGUGUUGUGGCCACAGCGUCAGCCUGACUCUCAUGGAUUCGUCCCUUCAGUACUCAUGCUGUCCUCUCACCGACAUUACAGACACAACAAUAACAAAAGAUUCUGAAAUUUUCACACCAGCUGGCGUAGAGUUACCCAGACAGAGAAGGCCAGUUCCCUGCUGUUUCUCGCCUCCAUCUUAAGAAAACAAGACAAAGAAACAGUACAUGAAGCCACCAAGUCAACAGAGCAUGAAGGCAAACUGCAACCUGAGAUACCUGAGAUAACAGAUUUACAAAUGAUCAGGAGGACUCCCAUUUUCAAUGAACUAAGGG